UUAUGAUGGGUAGGGGAGCUUCGUAUGCAGGCUGAAGCAUGACCGUAAGGACAUGUGGACAGUAUACGAGUGAGAAUGUUGGCAUGAGUAGCGAGACGUGGGUGAGAAUCCCACGGGCCGUAAACCCAAGGUUUCCAGGGGAAGGUUCGUCCGCCCUGGGUUAGUCGGGACCUAAGCCGAGGCCGAAAGGCGUAGGUGAUGGACAACAGGCUGAUAUUCCUGUACCGCCAAUAAGCGUUUGAGAGAUGGAGUGACACAGUAGGAUAAGCUAACCGUACUGUUGGUUAUGUACGGCUAAGCAUUGAGGCAGUCUAAAUAGGCAAAUCCGUUUGGACAAUGCUAGGAUGUGAUGGGGAAGCCCUCCGGGGCGAAGUAGCUGAUUUCACACUGUCAAGAAAAGCUUCUAUCGAGUUUAAAGGCGCCCGUACCGUAAACCGACACAGGUGGGUGAGGAGAGUAUCCUAAGGCCAGCGAGAGAACUAUUGUUAAGGAACUCGGCAAAAUGACCCCGUAACUUAGGGAGAAGGGGUGCCUGUCUAUGACAGGCCGCAGAGAAUAGGCCCAAGCGACUGUUUACCAAAAACACAGGUUUCUGCUAAGUCGCAAGACGAUGUAUAGGAGCUGACGCCUGCCCGGUGCUGGAAGGUUAAGGGGAUCUGUUAGAGCAAUCGAAGCAGUGAACUUAAGCCCCAGUAAACGGCGGCCGUAACCAUAACGGUCCUAAGGUAGCGAAAUUCCUUGUCGGGUAAGUUCCGACCCGCACGAAAGGCGUAACGAUUUGGGCACUGUCUCAACAAUAGACUCGGUGAAAUUGUAAUCCCGGUGAAGAUGCCGGGUACCUGCGACAGGACGGAAAGACCCCAUGGAGCUUUACUGUAGCUUGACGUUGGGUCUUGGUACUACAUGUACAGGAUAGGUGGGAGACUAUGAAGCAUGGACGCCAGUCUGUGUGGAGUCAUCCUUGGGAUACCACCCUUGUAGUACUGGGAUCCUAACCAUAGGCCUUGAAUCAGGUCUUGGAACACCGUCAGGUGGGCAGUUUGACUGGGGCGGUCGCCUCCUAAAAAGUAACGGAGGCGCUCAAAGGUUUCCUCAGCACGGUCGGAAAUCGUGCGAAGAGUGUAAAGGCAAAAGGAAGCUUGAUUGCAAGACAUACAGGUCGAGCAAGGACGAAAGUCGGACUUAGUGAUCCGGUGGUACCGCAUGGAAGGGCCAUCGCUCAACGGAUAAAAGCUACCCUGGGGAUAACAGGCUUAUCUCCCCCAAGAGUCCACAUCGACGGGGAGGUUUGGCACCUCGAUGUCGGCUCAUCACAUCCUGGGGCUGUAGUAGGUCCCAAGGGUUGGGCUGUUCGCCCAUUAAAGUGGUACGCGAGCUGGGUUCAGAACGUCGUGAGACAGUUCGGUCCCUAUCCGUCGCAGGCGUAGGAAAUUUGAGAAGACCUGUCCUUAGUACGAGAGGACCGGGAUGGACGUACCUCUGGUGUACCAGUUGUUCUGCCAAGGGCAUGGCUGGGUAGCUAUGUACGGAACGGAUAAGCGCUGAAAGCAUCUAAGCGCGAAGCCAACUUCAAGAUAAGAUUUCCCACCGUAAGGGUAAGACCCCAGGAAGACUACCUGGUUGAUAGGUCGAAGGUGUAAGUGCAGUAAUGUAUUUAGCUUAUCGAUACUAAUAGGUCGAGGACUUGACC
rnacentral:rRNA from 1 species